AAACAAAAAUGGCGUCGAAACUAAUGAGCGUAAAACAGAUGAGCGAAGGAUAUAGUUCCCUUUUUUAUUAAAAAAAAACUGGUCUUCACUUUCUUUAUGGAAAUACGGAAGGUAGUCGAUUUUCUCUCAAAGAUAUACAUACUGAUGAAAUAGUUAUAAAAUUUGUCAAAACAUGUAACGCCAGUGAUUAAUCAGUAGAGUCUGAUACAGAAGAAAAUAACUUGACAGAGCCCGAUAUUGACGAAGAAGAGACAGGCUUUAAGCUUUUACGAUUUUAUGCACAAACAUUGCAACUAGUGGUACGAGAUGGACUCCGGGAUUGCAGUUUAGAUAUUCUCAAAGUUAAAGCCAAAGCAUCAAAAAUUGCUGGACACAUUAGAAAAUCCGUUGCUGCUUCAGACAUAAUGUAGGAAGAAAUCAGAGUCCACGUUGGAACAGCCAGCUUGUCAUGAUCAUUCUCAAUAUUCCAGAAGAGAAAUUAAAUCGUGUUGAUUAUUCAUUGAAACUUAUAUCAUACGAAAGAAAAUUACUUAGUGAAAUAUGUAAAAUUUUGAGUCCACUUGAAUUAGCCACCAACAUGAUUCAGACUUAAAAAACUGUAAAAGUGCUAGAAAGACUAUUCCACUAACAAUAGGACUGAAGAGACAUCUGAAAAACAUUCAGUGUGACUAUAACUCAAACUUAGUUAAAAGGCUCAGGGAGUCUACAGAACAAAGAAUGUCCAUAUAUGAGGCGGAAGACACCUUUGUAACUAUCGACAUCCUCGAUCCCAGGUUCAAGUAAACUUGGUGUGAACCAGAUCAGAUCCAGAUAUACAGCAGAAACCUCAAACAGAAGGUCAAAAACACAGUCCAAAUGUUCAGGAAGAUGAACAAUCACCACCUCUCAAACAUACUAAACUAGAUCAAGAGGCUGAAGAUUUCUUCCGUUUCCUUCGCAAUCUACUUUCAAACGGUACAGGAACCCUUCUGGCUCAGGAGAAUUUGAGGUCGAUGAGGAAUGCAUAGGCAAAUAGGACGACCCACUCUAGUACUGGAAGAAACACUGUUCAUAGUACCCCACAUUAGCGGAACUUGCAGUUAGAUUCCUUGCCAUUCCUGCUACUUCGGUGCCAGUCGAAAGAUAUACUCUACCGAAGACAAGAUUGUCAGGCCAGAUCGUAACAGACUAAACGAUCAAAUCUUUGAGCAGCUUAUGCUCAUAAAAUGCAACUGUGAUAAAACAUUAAUACAUAAACAAUAUCAAUAACUGGAGACAAAGACAAAUACAAAAUGCUGUAGAAUUUAGAUUCUGUGUUUUUUAUGGUGCUGUUGGAUCAUUUCAAGUAUUUCAUACAAAUUAAUUCCUACUUGGUAAAUUAGAUUCAUUACAGGCGUUAAAUGUAAUCAAGUCAUGUGUUGCAGCUAUGAAAUAAACAAUUAAAAUGAUUAAAUGAA